ensembl:lncRNA
AAAAUUCUAAAUGCCUGGAGGCAUUCCUCCAGGUAUUCCUCCAGGCAUUCCUCCAGGCAUUCCUCCAGGCAUUCCUCCAGGCAUUCCUCCAGGCAUUCCUCCAGGUAUUCCUCCAGGCAUUCCUCCAGGCAUUCCUCCAGGCAUUCCUCCAGGUAUUCCUCCAGGCAUUCCUCCAGGUAUUCCUCCAGGUAUUCCUCCAGGUAUUCCUCCAGGCAUUCCUCCAGGCAUUCCUCCAGGUAUUCCUCCAGGCAUUCCUCCAGGUAUUCCUCCAGGCAUUCCUCCAGGCAUUCCUCCAGGCAUUCCUCCAGGUAUUCCUCCAGGUAUUCCUCCAGGCAUUCCUCCAGGCAUUCCUCCAG